UACGGGGGGGAGCAAGCGUUGUUCGGAUUUACUGGGCGUAAAGGGCGCGUAGGCGGCACCGCAAGUCGACUGUGAAAUCUCCGGGCUUAACUCGGAAAGGUCAGCCGAUACUGCGGGGCUAGAGUGCAGAAGGGGCAACUGGAAUUCUCGGUGUAGCGGUGAAAUGCGUAGAUAUCGAGAGGAACACCUGCGGCGAAGGCGGGUGCUGGGCUGACACUGACGCUGAUGCGCGAAAGCUAGGGGAGCGAAGCGGG
rnacentral:rRNA from 1 species